CAGUCUUAAUUAAUGCAUAAUAAUCAGUUAUUAAUGAUUUAUAAAGUGUUAUGAGAUUACUUAAUAACAUAUCUAUGAACUAUUUAUUAUCCAUUAAAGGAAUAUUUAUUUUUGUGUUACCUCUUCAUUUACAGAUACAAAAACAAUGAUUUCAUUUGAAUAUCAUUGCAGCCAGUGAAUUAUACAACCUGUGUGCGGCUAACACGGAGCAGCUAGCUGAGGCUAGUUGAGUUCAGUGGCACACUGACCGUGUCUCAACCCUUAAUGCACUUGUCUCCCUCAUGCACUUCUUUUUCUUGUCUCCCUUAAGUCAAAUGUCAGCCAGUGAAUGCCAACUCUAUCAAUAUUUCAGAAGCAAUUAAAUAAAGCACACAUCAUAAAUGUUUAAUGUCACACUGCUGAGAAAGCCAAAUUUUCUCUUCUAUCAUUACAGGUACAGGAUGCCAGUGGCGGCCUAUGAGGCAAACACUGUGUUUACUUGGCAAGUAAACAAACUGUAAGCACUCAGUUUGGACUCACACUCCAACCACUUCAGUUACAUUCAGCAGACUCCAGUCCACUUAUGUCUCCUUCUUCUAAAAACCUUCUGGAGUCAUUUUCCCCUCAUGUCUGAUUCCCUCAGCUAAUAAAAUCGCUGGGACUGUUACAUGCAUGACGUUUGAGGCCAUGAAUACAUGCAAUGGCCACAAAGCAAAGAUUACCUGAUAGUAGGAGUGGCUUUGUGAGUACAGGGAGG